rnacentral:rRNA from 1 species
GUAUGGUGCAAGCGUUAUCCGGAUUUACUGGGUGUAAAGGGAGAGUAGACGGAGAAGCAAGUCUGGAGUGAAAACCCGGGGCUCAACCCCGGGACUGCUUUGGAAACUGUUUUUCUGGAGCGCCGGAGAGGUAAGCGGAAUUCCUAGUGUAGCGGUGAAAUGCGUAGAUAUUAGGAGGAACACCAGUGGCGAAGGCGGCUUACUGGACGGUAACUGACGUUGAGGCUCGAAAGCGUGGGGAGCAAACAGGAUUAGAUACCCUGGUAGUCCAUGCCGUAAACGAUGAAUACUAGGUGUCGGGUGGCAAAGCCAUUCGGUGCCGCAGCAAACGCAAUAAGUAUUCCACCUGGGGAGUACGUUCGCAAGAAUG